CAGUCGCCACGGGAAUACGUAGGUCCCGAGCGUUGUCCGGAAUUAUUGGGCGUAAAGGGCUCGCAGGCGGUUUCUUAAGUCUGAUGUGAAAGCCCCCGGCUCAACCGGGGAGGGUCAUUGGAAACUGGGAAACUUGAGUGCAGAAGAGGAGAGUGGAAUUCCACGUGUAGCGGUGAAAUGCGUAGAGAUGUGGAGGAACACCAGUGGCGAAGGCGACUCUCUGGUCUGUAACUGACGCUGAGGAGCGAAAGCGUGGGGAGCGAACAGGAUUAGAUACCCCAGUAGUCCCUGUCUCUUAUAC
rnacentral:rRNA from 1 species